UACAAUCUACCAUAUGACCCAGCUCUACCA
rnacentral:piRNA from 1 species